rnacentral:snRNA from 8 species
AUACUUACCUGGCAAGGGAGAUCCCGUGAUCAAGAAGGCGGUUCACCCAGGGCGAGGCUCAGCCAUUGCACUCCGGCUGUGCUGACCCCUGCGAAUUUCCCAAAUGUGGAAAUCUCGAUUGCAUAAUUUAUGGUAGUGGGGGACUGCGUUCGCGCUCUCCCCUG